AAAAUUUAAAAGGCCGCGGUAUCUUGACCGUGCAAAGGUAGCAUAAUCACUAGUUUUUUAAUUGAAGGCUUGAAUGAACGAUUGGACAAGAAUUGAACUGUCUUUUCUUAUAAAAUUGAAUUUUAUUUUUAAGUGAAAAAGCUUAAAUGUAGGAGAAAGACGAUAAGACCCUAUAAAUCAUUUUACUGGGGCGGUAAAGAUAUAAAAAUAAACUGUUAUUAAUAUUAAACAAAGUUAUUUGAAAAGAUCCUUAGUAUGGAGUAAAAGUGAAAGUUACUUUAGGGAUAACAGCAUAAUUUCUUUUGAGAGUUCUAAUCGAGAAAGAAGCUUGUGACCUCGAUGUUGAAUUAAGAUAUUCUUUAUGGUGCAGCAGUUAUAAGAGAAAGUCUGUUCGACUUUUAAAUUCUU
rnacentral:rRNA from 1 species